GUAGGGUGCAAGCGUUAAUCGGAAUUACUGGGCGUAAAGCGUGCGCAGGCGGCUUUGCAAGACAGAUGUGAAAUCCCCGGGCUUAACCUGGGAACUGCAUUUGUGACUGCAUGGCUAGAGUGCGGCAGAGAGGGAUGGAAUUCCGCGUGUAGCAGUGAAAUGCGUAGAUAUGCGGAGGAACACCGAUGGCGAAGGCAAUCCCCUGGGCCUGCACUGACGCUCAUGCACGAAAGCGUGGGGAGCAAACAGGAUUAGAUACCCUGGUAGUCCACGCCCUAAACGAUGUCAACUGGUUGUUGGACGGCUUGCUGUUCAGUAACGAAGCUAACGCGUGAAGUUGACCGCCUGGGGAGUACGGCCGCAAGGUUG
rnacentral:rRNA from 1 species